rnacentral:misc_RNA from 1 species
CCUUGAGGCAUGCCUGUUCGAGCGCCGUUUGAAUUCCUAAAGCUUGCUUUGUGUUGAGCCGUUUGCUGUGGCAAAGGCUUCAAAGAACUCUGCCCAACUCGGGUUGCGUGAAGCAGUGAAAAUGCUGAGCGUCGCAACGACAAAGGCACGUCAAACGAUCGCAUGGCCUCGGAUCAGGCAAGGCUACCCGCUGAACUUAA